GACUCAGGUGUGUUAUAACGGUUAUAUCUAAAACCUGCAAGACACCGGCCCUUGAGGCCUGGAGUUGGGGACCCCUGCUCUAAAGUAAAGAGGGAAGGAAAUACUUGUUUUCACUCCAAGCUAAUGCAACUGGAGGAAAGCCAAAUUCUUUAGAGAGGCCAGAUAUGAGUUACUUUGCAUUCCAGUCUGUUUUGAGGUGGACAGGUGGGUGGAGGCACGUGACUCUUCUGCUGACAGAUCGCAACAAGAUGUGAGAAAAAUUCGGCGUGAUCAAGAAAAACUAUCAAAAGAUCCCAGUGGGAAUUUUUUGAAAAACACCAGAAAUAAGCAAAACUGGGACAGAGUGGGGUCUGUAUUAACCCCGCCCCUCUUAUUUUGGCCUGGAAUAGAACAGGUGGAGGAAGGAGGGGGCAGUUUGCAGCAGGAGACCAGAGAAAGAAAUGAAGGAAACGGGAAGGAAAUGACGAAGGCUUGCUCUCUGAAACAGCUAAGCUGCCACUCUCUCUUUAUCAUCCUGUAUGGAAACCUGGAAAAACACACAAACACAUAGGGUGUUGUUGUUGACUGCCAUACAAAACACAGGAUCUCAGGCACAGGAUGAUAAACAAAGAACAUGGAGAGCAAAUAGAAUUGAAGAGGACACAAUCAAAGAGACAACAGGAAAAAAAGGCAGACUGUUGUGCCGAUGGAUUACAAGUGGGGGGAAAAAAGAGUCACAAAGAAAUGGCAAAACAAAGAAGAAAGUUAAACACCAGAAAUGGUAAAUAACUGUUUUUGAUACUUGUAUUUUCUACGCGCAAAACCCACAGCAGCUGAUCACUUCAAUAAUUUCUUCUUUCUUUUAUUCAGAACUCAUUUUGUCAAAGUCUGCAUCUCAUUUUUCAAACAGCUGUCACCUCCUUCUGCAAGUAAGCUCUUGAGCAUCAAGAAAUUGCCGAAUGGGAAAUUAUGCACACACACACACAUACACAAAGAAAAGAAUAUUGCAAAUUUCAUAGCUGAUCACAUGCCAAGGAAAGCAUUUCUGUGCAUUCACUUAGGCAACCGUAGGAAGCCAGUUAUUCCACACUGAUAACCCGGAGGCCAGCAAGCACGACUGGCGACAUAAAUAUGGCUGUCGCCGUCACAACACGACAGGCUGGGAUCAAACAGCACCCAGAGAUGUUUCCUAUUGUUUGCCCGAACAGGCCUGCAGCCCGAGAUCAACAGUUAGAAUUUCUCGUUGACCUUCGUGAUCGAGAGAAGGAUGAUUCAUCUGCAGAAGCCGACACAAAAACAAGACAGGAAUGCUACAGGAAGGGCAAAGGUCACUGCAAGAAUGCCACUGGCUUGUUUGUUAUCAUACUUUUGCAUAAAUGUGCUUUACACAACGUUUCUCAAGCAAACACACACACUUGACGGUUUCUGAAAUCGGAAUAAUCUCAUUACUUUAUAUGUGUUUAAGGUGUGUUAGAUCCUGUACAUAAAAUGUUGAACUGUUACCCAAGGGUUUGUAAAGCCUUUCAGCUUAAUGACUGCUUUAACGUACUUAGCAGGAGUGUAAAGUGCUGAGCUGUCAGCAAGUGCUAGCGAGCUUGGUUAGCAAGGUGCGUUCACAGAAUAGGCUAUACGUAUGCACACACUCCUCAGAUGGACUGUUAGUGCAGUUAACCAGACAGCAGUUGCAUUAUGCGUAGCUGCAUUCAGUGUACUCCAAAGUAAAUAUGCACCUGGACCUCGAACAGAGCAGAGAGGUCCAGUUCCUGAUGCCAUUCAGUAGCCAUGCAAAGUUUAAACUAUAAAAAUGUGCACGGGUGACUCAACAGAGACUGACUUGUCUUUCUAGCCAGCUUUAAGUCACCUGUAUUUUUUUCCCGGCUUGCUUGUCUGGUUUGCAUGUUUGUAUCCUUCAGUCAGGCUGUGUUUUUGUCCUAGGACACAAUUAUCCUUUUAAUCUUCAUCUGGGUGUGACACCAGCUAAACAUAGUACAUUUUAUUCUGUGCUAUAAUAGCAGUACAUUUUCUGCCAUGUGAAUUUUUUGGCACACAAUAAAAGCCUUUGAAUGAUAAACUGUAGAGAACGACAAGCAUUUUAAAUGAGCCCACAGAUAAAUUGACACCCUAUAAUGGUAUGCGCCGGUUGUCUAAUAGUUUUAAACUGAAAAUCUGCUCUCUUCUACCAGUUAAUAAAAGCCAAAGUUCAACCUUUUCAGAAGAAAAACUUGCUGGUCUAAGCACACAAUGUGAGGUUGCUCUUUCACAUGAAAAAUCCCCUGAUGAAGAGGAAGUGAUGGAGUUUUGUGUUCUUGGCAGCUACAACAGGUGAUAAAAUGAAGAAAAACCAUAUUCACGGGAUGAUGAAUUACAACCCUGGCUGCCCUUCAGUGUUUCAACAGUAAUACUGAAACUGUAUUUGUUAAAUACCGUAACAUUUGUGUUUACCGGCAACAUACCCAAGUGAAAGCUCACAUUCACAUACUGCGGCUUUAAGGUUUACCUUCAGGCUGGCCAAGCCAAGUGACAAACUGGACAUAGCAACAGGCAAGGGCACUGUGCAUUUCCUAGACUGUGUGUGGCUCGUGAGACCUGACGACAUGCUAAUUCCAUGGAGACAGCGUUGUAGGGAGGGGGUGGUGAGAUUACCGUCUAGCCAUGGAAGUCCAGAAAGGUUGCUCUGCUGUUCCCUGCAGCUCAUGGGCUGUCUUAAGAGGUUUUAAGAGGCUUGGAAGAGAUGAGCUGCCAUCUGGCUAAAUCUUGAACAGCUAACCACACAUGGUUGGUUAGGAAUAUGUCGACACUGCUGAUGUGCCCGUGAUGCAGCAAAGGACUGCUGUUGACCCAAAACGAGGUUUCUUUUACCUGCUAGAAGAAUGAGUAGCAAUGGAGUCUUCUGAACUAGAAUCUAAACAAUAUAUAAAAUGUAUGAGUUCAUAUGAUGGCUCUUUAUUUUUGUUUCCUUCCUAUUUAUAAUAAAAGCUGUGCAAAAAAAUAAAACCAGCUAUAAGUACAUAGGUAAGCACAUUGGUGUUUUGAU